UAUGGUGGGUGGCUCGGAGCAGGCGGGGGCCGGGGUGGGGGAGGUGAUGGAUGGGCUGUGGGGGAGGCGAGGACUGUGUUUAAUAACAAAAUUGGUAUGCAAGGCCACAUCCCAGCGCUAAGCAUGAGUGAUCCAGAGCCACAAAGUAUUACAAAUCCCCGCUAAACAGAUGCUGACAAUGGAACAAGACGUAUCAAAUCAGAUCCACUUCAGAAACAUUAAUAUCCCUGUUCCUGUCCCUCCCGCCCUGCUGCCCCCUCUAUGCUCACCACAUCUGUGCUCACACAUUCACGCAUGUGCUAGCACAUGCACACAAACGCACACACAGGCGCCAGCUGGAACACGGCGGGAGGCAGAAACAGCGCAUUCCCAUAGGGUUCCCAUGCACAUACAAGCAGUACAGGUAGAGCACACCCGAGAGAUCCAUACAGCACAGAAGACACAGCCAGGGCAGACACCCGGGCACACGCAGGCCGUGUGGACACGGAACAUCCACAGGGACAGGCAUGACACACCUAAUAUGUGAGCAAAGGCAUAGGCAGAGCUGGAUAAAGUAGAGGUUCUCUAUCCAGGGCCAUUUGCCCCCCAGAGGACAACUGGCAACACUUGGAGACAUUUUUGAUCGUCAUAGCUGGGAGCGGGCAGUUUUCUCCUGGCAUGUAGUGGGUACAGGGGAUUAACCAUCCUAGAGGGUACUGGAUAGCCCCUCACAACAAAAAACUACCCAGCCCAAAUGUUAAUAGUGCUGAGGUUGAGAAACCCCGGUGUAAAGGCGGAUACGCACAUAUCCAUUGUCUCUAUAAUUCUGUCAACGUGUGGUCACACCGAGGUUCAGACAUGCACACAGAGGCGCAGGCAGAGUCGUGUUCCCAGGGCCGUGUCCUUAAAGACAUUCACAACUGUCACCCAGGCCCGGAUGAAGAGCUGCUCACGUGCCCACCUUCACACAAGCAUGCACAGGUACAGACACCCACGUGUGCUGCCACACGCCCAACACUCAGGCAGCCACAAAUGCAGCCGUACAUGGACAUACCCACAGAAGCAGACACGUACGUCAUAGUGAAGGGGCCGGUAGCUUGGCAGCAGGCUGAGACUAAGAUCUGAGUGUAAAAAUAGCUUGUGGUGGGGGUAGGGGGGCGUUGUGGGUUUGAUUUCCGGUCAGGGAACUAAGCUCCUGCGUGGCACAUGAUGUGGCCAAAAUAUUAAAAAAAGAAAACAAAAAACCAGCUGUCUGCCUGUCUGAUCACACAGUGGGGGCAUCACAGACAGGAAGAGACCACCAAACUGGGUUCCAUUCAGUGGCAUUUUGUUCAUAAGUGGUCCCCAUGUUCCUGCUCCUGAUCCGGGCACAAGGGAUACAGAGAGGAAACUGAGCUGCCAUUAAGGAACAACUAGAUGUGAGUCUGUUACUUUUGUCUUUCCUUCAUUCCGCUAACAAAUGCUGUUGUCGCCCUGCUACCAGCCCCAUUCCUGGACCUACAGCGAGAGAAAUGAGGCAUCUACUAUAUGACACUGUUCCCACCAGGCCCCUGGACUGAGGUCUGAGUGUUUUCUGAGCAGAAUCAGGGUGAAAUGGAAGAGGAAAGACUGAACAAUUGUUGUGCACCCACCACACGUGACAGGCAUGGGCUAGGAGCUUCAAGUGUGUCAUCCCUUUGAUCUUCACAAAAACUUGAGUUGACUGGUGGGCUGGGUGACACCUCACUGCUCACACAGCCCAGGCAGGGUUUGGGAUUUGCGUUCCUAUCUGACAGAGUCCAGAGUGCUGCUUUUCUGUUGGCCCCACUGCCUCCUAAAGACACUCAGGAUGGAGGGCUGAGGUCUGAGUUGUUUUACUGUCUCCACUUUGGGGAGGGCCCUGCUGACUCUGAGCUUUUGUUUACUCUGCCGGUGAACAGAAAUGAAGACAUUCAGGGCCAGGAUGUCCAGCCUCUCCCUUGGCCAGUCCUCUGGGUCUUUUCCUGCAAUCCUCUUCACCUUCCCUCCAGCUGGACUGUCAGACUCCUUCCCUCUCCCAGAGCAAGCACCCCCCUCCCCCCUCCCUCCCUACCUUUCCUCCAACAACCUGAUUACCUCCAAGUGUGCUUGCUUCCCCCAGAGAGAGGAGUCUGGCGAGGGGCCCACCUUGGAGAGGAGAGCUCUGAGCCCCCAGCCGCUGGCAGCCAGGCUCCCGCCCAGCCCAUCCACUCGGCUCUGCCUUCGUCCCUCCCAGUUUCCACAGCCCGCCCCCAACGAUUUCCUCCCUUCUCAGUCACUCGCUGCCUAGUGAUCCAUGGGUUUUAAAUUAUAACUGGGACCCAGGAAACGCGUUCCUAAGUACAAUAUUCAUGGGCUGGGCUGACACUUUUAAUUAAGGUGAUUUACACUGAAUUAUCCUUGGAAAUAAAGAAAUGGUGUGCUGCCCGGGAAUAAACCAUCAUCACCAGCCGCCUUUCCUCUCUCUUGGAUCACUUCCUCUGUGGGAAGUCAACCGCCAUGUCUCAGGGAAACUGUAGCAACCCUGUGGAGAGACCUGCACGUCGAGGAACUGAGGCCUCCUGCCAACAGCUGUGUGAGCGAACCAUCCUGGGAAGGGGUCCUGCAGCUCCAGUGGAACCUUCAGACGACUGCAGCCUUGGCUGACAUCCUGGCUGCAGUGUCCUGAGAGCCUGAGCCAAAAGCCACACCCCCUCACAACUACCCAACUAAGCUGUGUCUGAAUCGAUGACCCCCAGAAACUGUGAAAUAUUAAGUGUUUGCUGUUUUUAAGCCAUGACGUUUGGGGAGAAUUUGUAACACAGCAAUAGAUAAGUAGUGUUUUGGCCUUCAAUUCAGCCCAGGCCUCAGCUCCCUAAGGAGGCCUUCUCUGCUCUGUGCGGGGUUCAGUACCGUCUUGUUUCUCCCCCAGCUCCUGUCUGUCCCAUAGAGCGGUCUCCGUCCCUCAGGGUUGCUAAUGCCUGGCUCUCCUUGCUCCUGUUAUGAGCUCCUGAGGGUGGGACCAUUUAUUUGUUUCUUUUAAUUGAAGUAUAGUUGAUUUGCAACGUUGUGCCAGUACACACUACACACAGUAUGGUCUGCCGCACAGCACGGUGACCCAGUUAUACACACACACACACACACACUCUUGUUUAAUGUUCUUUCCCACUGUGAUUUACUCCAGGAGAUUGAAUAUAGUUCCCUGUGCUACACAGUAGGACCUUGUUGUUUAGCCAUUCUAAAUGUGAUCGUUUGCAUCUGCCAACCCCAAAUCCCAGGCCCGUCCCUUUCCCUCCCGCCCCCUGGGCAACCACACACCUGCUCUCUCUGUCUGUGAGUCUGUGUCUGUUUUGUGGAUAAGUUCAUUUGUUCCGUAUUUUAGAUUCCACAUAUAAGGGACAUCAUAUGGUAUUUGUCAUUCUCUUUCUAACUUCACUUAGUAUGAUAAUCUCUGGCUCCCUCUGUAUUGCUGCAAAUGGCAUUAUUUUGUUCAUUUUUAUGACUCAGCAGCAUUCCAUUGUGUCUAUGCACUGCCUCUUCUUUAUCUAUUCAUCUCUCGCUGGACGUUUAGGUUGCUUCCAUGGUUUGCCUAUUGUGAAUAGUGGUGCCAUGAACCUAGGGGUGCAUGUACCUUUUUGAAUUAUAGUUUUGUCUGGGUAUAUGCCCAAGAGUGGCAUUGCUGGAUCAUAUGGUAAUCCUAUUUUUAGGUUUCUGAGGAAUUUCCAUACUGUUCUCCAUAGUGGCUACACCAACUUACAUGGGACGAUUUCUGGUUCACCUCUGGGCCCCUGCACCCUGCAUGGGGGGUUAGGUGAGAAGGUAGAGGAAGGAGGAUCAGUCAAGUCUGCUGACUGGAACUGAGCCAGGUUUUUGGACUGGGAAUCGUGGGGCAGGCUAUUGCCAGUGGCUGACUAUUUCCCAGAGUGGCUAGAGCCCACAUGCUCUUCUGUAAGAGGAGCUUGCCCCUUCUCCAUCAAAAGGUGGGGUACAUGUUCCCGUCCCUAAAAUCUGGGUAGGCUAAUACUGCCAAGAGAGUAUAGCAGAAGUGAAGUUAAGUGAUUUUUGAGGUUAGGUUAAUAAAAGGUGAUCCAGCUUCGAUCUCAUUGGCUGGAACAUUUUGCUUUCAUGCUUUCAGCUGCCACACUGUGAGCUAUCAUGCUCACAGGCCACAAGGAGCAGCCAUGUGUAGGUGCUUUGGUUACAGCCCCAGCUGAGGUCCCUGCUGACAGCCAACAUCAACCACCAGACGUGUGAAUGAAGGAGCCAGGUGAUCCCAGCUCCCAGCCACCAAGCCUUCCCAGCUGGGGCCCCAGACAGGGAGAAUCAGACACAAGCCACCCCCUCUGUGUUCUGUCUGAAUUCCUGACCCCCACAGAGUCCAUGAGCAUCGUGAAAUGGUUGCUUUAAACCCCUAAGCUUUGGGGUAAUUUGUUUCUCUGCUCCCUUUGACAACCUUGGCUCUUCUGGGAGGAGGCUCCACCCAGUCCUUCAGGCAGGGACAAUGAGGAUGGGGUGGAGCAAGGGAGACACGCCUGAGCACGUUCUCAAGGUUGUCACCUUUCACACCUUGAGAUUCAUAGGGGAGGUGGAUGGCAACCCCAGGUUGCACUUCUCGGGAAGCUGCCAGUCCCAGUCCCUGCUUCCAUCACCCUGCUCUGAGGCUCCUCCCCUUUCCAGGUCCUCUUGUGCCUUUUUGAGACUUAAGGCUCACUCUCCUCAUAUCUCUGGAAACAGAGUAAGAAGAGAAAGGCAGCACCAUUCAGCCGGAGGAGCUGAGGAUUGAAAGCCAGGUGGAAAAUGGCAGCAGGGUCUUGCCGCCUGUGAGAGGCUGGGACCUGGUAGCCAGAGCCCUGAGUGGAGGCCUCUGGCAGGUGGCUUACCUGGCGGGCAGCUGGGCCAGCUGCUCUAGUUCUU